CCGGGUGCGUCCCCAGCCCGGAAUCCACCGUGGGAGGGCUUAGGGUGACGGAGCUGACGGACACUCGAUCUGGGCCCACGAGUUACUCGACUUACUGAUAUUUGGGGCUCCAGAUGGGCCACGUUUCCCAGGAUGACGGCCAAGUACAUUCAGUGACUCGUGUGGUCACUACAGUUUGAGGACAACAUGUGCGAGAAGACCUUCCCUGGCCCCUGCCCAGGACUUCUUAAUUCCGGCGUGCCCAGCUGCCAGCUUGUUUUGUUUCUUGAAUUUCCUGGGAGCAUCCUUCACAAAUUCUCUCGUUGUUUGCCUGGGAAGGUCUUUCUUUUCCCUCCCUUUUGAAGAGCCACAAGGGCAUCUUCCUCAGACCUUUGUGAGGAGAUCUCAGGGCUCCUGGAAAUAAAGCCCCCGCUCCCCCAGCUCCCAGAAGCCCAGCGAGGCACCGCCCACCAGUUCCUGCCAGUUUACGGCUCCAGCAGCUUCUCUGGGCAGACCCACCCUGCCCACCCUGGCCUCCCAGACUUGCUGUCCCUCAAGAUUUCAGGGUGCUGGCUCGCCCUGCACGCUGGGCUCUCGGGUGAGUCUGAGAAAAGCAGUUGUUUUCAAGUUGUCCCAUUUUUUCUUGUUGUAAGGGCAGGAGUGGAGUCUGCCACACUCUUUAAAUAAAUGUCAGCGCUAAGUCUGGAGUCCCCGCCACUGGGGGAGGGGCGGUGCUGUGCCAUCCCAGAUACGCUACUAAAUAUUCGUAUAGAACUAAUAAAUAUUCAUGCCAGGACAUAGAAUAACGUUUUCUUUCACCAGGAAAGAAAGAGAUUCCACGUGUUGUGACUCAUCACUCUUAAAAGUAUCUCUGGUUAGUGUUUGAUUCUGAGACCCAUCUGGGAGGUGAGGCCAGCCUCCUUCGAUGCCUCCCACCUCAGCCCAUGGGACGGACUGGCCACAGGCCCCCCGAGGGCGGUCCUUGGAGCCGAUCACUGGCUGUAGAUCCAGCCUCCAGCCGGUGGGGCUCGUUCCUGGCCCCAGAGCAGGCGCCGGCUUCCUGUGUCCUGAGGAGGUGACUCCGUGGGCCAAGUGCUGCCCAGCCAGCCAGCAGCUGGGCCAUGGGCACCCUCAACAGUUGCUGGAAAACGGCUCUGGUUUCCGACCGCCACCAGUGUCCAGAUGGGCAGCAGCCAGGGGUCCCCACUGUGGCCUUGACUCCCCGGGUCUCCGUGGGGCGUUCAGAGUGGCCAGCCUGGGCAGGACUCCCCCACCCCCGCCCUGGACACACCUGUGAACAACAGUUUCUGGAAAAUUCUGGCUGCAUUCAGACUCUGACUACCUGAGGGUGUCACCCCCACACCAGUUCUGGGGGUGUCUUUCUUGUUGAAAUGAGAUCACUUUACACACAGAGAGACUCGCAUUUUCAGGGAAUGCCUGACCCCAGCCUGCGUGACC